rnacentral:misc_RNA from 1 species
AAGUCGUAACAAGGUAUCCGUAGGUGAACCUGCGGAUGGAUCAUUACCAAAGAUUUUUUCAAAGUCUUGUGAACUGUUUUGACAAAUACACUGUUGGGUUGGGCGAAGCUUGGCUAGACCAACCCAACAGUACCAUACACGUAUAUAACCCCUAAACUGACGUCUACUUUAGUAGUAAAUCAAACUAAAGACAACUUUUAGCAACGGAUCUCUUGGCUCUC